GCUUACGGCCAUACCACCCUGAAUGUGCCCGAUCUCCUCUGAUCUCGGAAGCUAAGUAGGGUCAGGCCUGGUUACUACUGAGGAGGGUGACCGCCUGGGAAUACCAGGUGCUUAAGCU
rnacentral:rRNA from 1 species